GAGCAACCUGCCUUUCAGAGGGGGACAACAGUUGGAAACGACUGCUAAUACCGCAUAACAUUGCCGAACGGCAUCGUUUGGCAAUCAAAGGAGCAAUCCGCUGAAAGAUGGGCUCGCGUCUGAUUAGAUAGUUGGUGAGGUAACGGCCCACCAAGUCGACGAUCAGUAGCCGGACUGAGAGGUUGAUCGGCCACAUUGGGACUGAGACACGGCCCAG
rnacentral:rRNA from 1 species